GUUGGGAAAAGAUAAAGCUAUAGGUGUCAUUUCUCAUAGGUUUACUAAUUGUCAGGCACUGUGCUCGACCCAGUGGAUUGGCUCAUUUAAUUCCAACAAAAUAAGAAGAGGUGGGACAGAUAGGAGGUAUCUACCAGCAGGGACCAGAAGCACCAAUGGUCUCUGUUCUCUGACCGGCUUUUUUAGGGAAUUCCGUCUGUGAUUGAUACAGCGGCAAGCAGUCCUCUCUCCACCUCGAAGUGGGGUUGAGAAGUUGCAAGGCUCCACCCUGCGAUCGACUUUCACUCUCCAAACUGGGCCCCGCCCACGCGCUUGCGCACAAAGGCCCGAUCGCAGGGGGCGGGGCCUGAGCGAGCACAAAGGGGCCUGAAAGAGUUGAGCGCUCGUGCUGCGCUGGGCGUUGCCAGGCGAAGCGAGUGUCGCCGAGGCCGCUACAGUUGGCCUCUCGCUGGCCCAGCCCAGGGAUCCCGAGUGGAGAACACGAACACCACCGGACUCGCUGGCGAGCUCCCAGGCGGGGCGCCCCGGCCUCUCAAGGGUGGCCGAGCGAGGGUUACCCGGGCGAGCAGGACCCACGGGUAGAUCGUUGGCCAGAGACAGGAUAUGUGAAGAAACUUCAGAGACGGGACAAUACUUUCUAUUACUACAACAGACAGAGGGAAUGUGAUGACAAGGAAGUCCACAAAGUGAAAAUUUAUGCUUACUAGCCUUACUUCUUUGUAUUACCUGUCAUUAUCUUUUUAAAAAUCCACUGUUUGAUUCUA